AAAUUUUCAACGAUGGAUGUCUUGGCUCCCAUAUCGAUGAAGAACGCAGCAAGAAUGCGAUAUGCAGUGUGAAUUGCAGAACCAUGAAUCACUAGAUUUUCGAACGCAACUGG
rnacentral:rRNA from 1 species